GGGCGGUUAGCUCAGAGGAAGAGCGCUCGGCUGAUAACCGAGAGGUCGGAGGUUCGAACCCUCCACCGCCCA
rnacentral:tRNA from 1 species